rnacentral:rRNA from 1 species
GACGAACGCUGGCGGCGUGCUUAACACAUGCAAGUCGAACGCUGAAGCUUGGUGCUUGCACUGGGUGGAUGAGUGGCGAACGGGUGAGUAAUACGUGAGUAACCUGCCCUUGACUCUGGGAUAAGCCUGGGAAACUGGGUCUAAUACUGGAUAUGACAUGCCACUGCAUGGUGGUGUGUGGAAAGGGUUUUACUGGUUUUGGAUGGGCUCACGGCCUAUCAGCUUGUUGGUGGGGUAAUGGCCUACCAAGGCGACGACGGGUAGCCGGCCUGAGAGGGUGACCGGCCACACUGGGACUGAGACACGGCCCAGACUCCUACGGGAGGCAGCAGUGGGGAAUAUUGCACAAUGGGCGGAAGCCUGAUGCAGCGACGCCGCGUGAGGGAUGACGGCCUUCGGGUUGUAAACCUCUUUCAGUACGGAAGAAGCGAGAGUGACGGUACGUGCAGAAGAAGCGCCGGCUAACUACGUG